UACAGAGGUCUCGAGCGUUGUUCGGAUUCAUUGGGCGUAAAGGGCGCGUAGGCGGCGGGGUAAGUCUGGUGUGAAAUCUCGGAGCUCAACUCCGAAAUUGCACUGGAUACUGCUCUGCUAGAGGGCUGGAGAGGAGAUCGGAAUUCACGGUGUAGCAGUGAAAUGCGUAGAUAUCGUGAGGAAGACCAGUGGCGAAGGCGGAUCUCUGGACAGCGCCUGACGCUGAGGCGCGAAGGCUAGGGGAGCAAACGGG
rnacentral:rRNA from 1 species